UUCACAUGCAGCUCAGUGGUAGAGCAUCUGAAUUGCAUGCAGAAGGUUCCUGGUUCAAUCCCCAACACCCCAGGAAGGGCUUGGAAG